ACAGCAGUAGCCGCGGUAAUACGUAGGUCCCGAGCGUUGUCCGGAUUUAUUGGGCGUAAAGCGAGCGCAGGCGGUUAGAUAAGUCUGAAGUUAAAGGCUGUGGCUUAACCAUAGUACGCUUUGGAAACUGUUUAACUUGAGUGCAAGAGGGGAGAGUGGAAUUCCAUGUGUAGCGGUGAAAUGCGUAGAUAUAUGGAGGAACACCGGUGGCGAAAGCGGCUCUCUGGCUUGUAACUGACGCUGAGGCUCGAAAGCGUGGGGGGCAAACAGGAUUAGAGACCCGCGUAGUCCCUGUCUCUUAUACA
rnacentral:rRNA from 1 species